rnacentral:rRNA from 1 species
CCUACGGGCGGCUGCAGUGGGGAAUUUUGGACAAUGGGGGCAACCCUGAUCCAGCCAUUCCGCGUGAGUGAAGAAGGCCUUCGGGUUGUAAAGCUCUUUCGCAAGGGAAGAAAACUUACUCAAUAACACUGGGUGAGGCUGACGGUACCUUGAUAAGAAGCACCGGCUAACUACGUGCCAGCAGCAGCGGUAAUACGUAGGGUGCUAGCGUUAAUCGGAAUGAGCGGAGGUAAAGCGUGCGCUCACGUGUGAAAUCCCCGGGCUCAACCUGGGAACUGCGUUUGAAACUACAAGGCUAGAGUAUGGCAGAGGGGGGUAGAAUUCCACGUGUAGCAGUGAAAUGCGUAGAGAUGUGGAGGAAUACCAAUGGCGAAGGCAGCCCCCUGGGUCAAUACUGACGCUCAUGCACGAAAGCGUGGGGAGCAAACAGGAUUAGAUACCCUUGUAGUC